rnacentral:lncRNA from 1 species
CCUUUCCUUCCUUUCUUUUUGGUUUAGAGAAGCCCUUUCAAUAUUUCCUUUAACCUGGGUUUUGUGUUGCUGUAUUCUUUAAGUUUUUGUUUGUUGGAAAAAAGUUUUAUUUCCCCUUCUAUUUUAAAUGAUAUUCUUGCUGGAUAGAGUAUUCUAGGUUGCAUAUUUUUUCCUUUUAGCACUUUAAAUAUCUCUUGCCAUUGCCUCCUGGCCUGUAGUGUUUCUGUAGAGAAAUCAGCUGAUGAUCUUAUGGGGGUUCCCUUGUAGGUAACAUUCUGUUUUUCUCUUGCUGCCUUUAGGAUCCUCUCUUUAUCACUAACUUUUGACAUUUUUAUUAUGAUGUGUCUUGGUGUGGGUCUGUUUGGGUUCAGUUUGUUUGGGGCCCUCUGUGCUUCUUGUAUCUUGAACCCAGAAUCCUUUAGAUUUGGGAAGUUUCCAGCGAUAAUUUCUUCAAAUAUAUUUUCCAUCCCCUUAUCUUUUUCUACUCCUUCUGGAAUUCCUAUUAUGCGUAGAUUGGCCUGCUUUAUAUUAUCCCAUAGGUCUCUUAUAUUGCUUCCAGUUUUUUGAUUUGGUUUUCUGCCUGCUGACCGGAUUGAGUGAUUUCCAUUAUUCUGUCUUCCAUAUCACUGAUUCGUUCUUCUGCAUUAUUCAUUCUGGUUUUUACUGCCCUUAGUUCAGUUUGCAUCUCUGCAAAUGAAUGUUCUAGUUUUUCUUGGCUCCUCCUUAUAUUGUCUAGUUCCUUUCUGAGGGUGUCUGCAUUACUGUUCAUAUCUUCUCUUAAUUCCUUCAGUAUUUUCACUAUUUCUCUUUUGAACUCCAGGUCUGUCAGACUGCAGAGAUCUGUUUCAUUGUUGCCUGCUUUAGGUGAGUUCUCCUGUUGGUUUGACUGGGAGUGGUUUCUCAGCUUCUUCAUCUUGCUUGUUGUUUUCUUUCUCCUGAGGGAGUUGUACUCUCUGUUAUCGGGCAGUGUUUGCCUUGUCACUGCUGUGGAAUAUUUCCUGAGGGCUGGCGUUGUUGGUCAAUCUUUUUUGAGGCAGUGUGGCUUUUCUGGAGUGUUGAUGGGGCUAACAGUGUUUCUCUGAAGCAAAGGAAGACUUCCUGAGGGCAGACAGGACUGGAAGGUCCACACCACGAUGGUAGCAGAUUUCACUUGGUCAUGCAGAGCUUGCUCUGGUGUUUUUAGGCUGUGGGGUUCUUGCAGGGGGUUGGCGGUGUUGGGCAGCUGUUCCUCAGGAGUGCAGCACCCUCUGGGGGCAGGAGCAGCUAUCUGGGUCACUGAGAACCUAUGAGGCUCUUCCCUAGGGCAGCCCAACUCAGAAGGACGACCUGAGAAUGUAAGCGGAUCUUUUCACAGUCUGGCCAAGCUUGUUGCAGCUUUUCUGUGCUGCAGGGGCUCUUCUAGGGGGCUGGUGGUGCUGAGCAACUAUUCUGCGGGACUGGGGCACCCCCUGUGGGCUUGGGCGGGUAGCAGGGCCGCUGAAAACCCAAGAGGCUCCUCCCCAGGGCAGCCCGACUCAGAAAGACCGUCUGAGAUCUUUUCCCGCCUUGACCAAGCUUGUUGCAGCUUUUCUGGGCUGCAGGGGGUCCUGCCUGGAGCUGGCAGUCCUAUGCAGCUGAUCCACCAGGUCUCGACACCCCCUGGGGGCUUGGGCGCGUAGCAGGGCCACUGGAAACCCAAGAGGCUCCUCCCCAGGGCAGCCCGACUCAGAAAGACCGUCUGAGAUCUUUUCCUGGCUCGGCCAAGCUUGUUGCAGCUUUUCUGGGCUGCAGGGGGUCCUGCCUGGAGCUGGCAGUCCUAUGCAGCUGAUCCACUAGUUCUCGGCACCCCCUGGGGGCUUGGACGGGUAGCAGGGCCACUGAAAACCCAAGAGGCUCCUCUCCGGGGCAGCCUGACUCAGAAAAACCGUCCGAGAAUUAAGUAGAUCUAUCACAGCCUGGCUACGCUUGUUCUAGCUUUUCUGGGCUGCAAGCCUUUUCUCGGGGGCUGGUGGUAUUUGGUGCUGCUCUGCGGAAGUGUAGCCCCUCCAAAGGGCAAGCAGGCCUGUGCAGGGACAAGCCCUGCAGUGGUAGGCUUCAGGCAAUUGUUGAGGCCAGCCCUCCUGGAUGGCAGGCAGCCCCAGGUCCAGGGAGAGCGUAGGGGGUGGCGGGGGUGGGGGGAGGUGAUGCACUGGGAAGCACAGCUUUCAGCUAGCUAGCGGGCCUGUAAGCUUGCUGUGGCGUGGGGAGUAUUCUAUGGGGACCCACCCCUUCUUCUCUCCCCUCCCCAGCACGGGCGCAGACCAGGCUCUUCUCCCAGGUUCCCUCUGAUGUGGCUUUCCACUUCCCUGCCCCUAGAGUAUUGCUCCCUUCCUCUGUGACAGCUUUGUUUUCUAGUCUCCCAAGCAGUCUCCGCUCCACCCCUCCCCCCCAGCCCGUUCUCGGGACUAACCUCUGGAGCCGAGGUCUCAGUGCCCAGCCCCCACCCAGGCGUCUCAAUUUUUGGUGACUGUGCCCGUAAUUCAGAUGGUCCGUUCGGUUCUUGAUUGGCUUUUCUGUACUCCAACUUACUGCUACACUCUUCUCUGCCUCUGGAGAUUCCUCCGGUUUGUUUGAUCUUUCCCCUGGUAGGUGACUUUCCAGGGUGCGGGAUCCCUUUCUCCUCCUCAGUUCUCUUUCAGGAGUGCCCCUCCCACUCGGAUUCACCUUCUCUCACUUUCCUCUCUUCUCCCUUUCUGCCCAGUAAUGUCUCGAACUUCUUGCUGUUAUUGGAGUUUAGGUUCCUCUGCCAGCGAUUGGUUGCUGUUCUGUGCGAGUCAUUUAUUCUGUAGAUGUGCUUUUUUUGUUGUGUUUGUGGGAGAGGGCGAGCUGUCCCCCUACUCCUCCACCAUCUUGUCCUCUCUCUCCUAAAGGGCAUUUUAAAGGAACACAUUUAAAAAACACAGAAAACCUUAAAUAUGUUUAACUUCUCAAUAGUGAAAAAAAAUCCUAAGUAUAUGAAAAUAAAAUUCUGACACAAACAGCUUUUUAUGUAAAAUAUGGCUUCUCCUUAGGACAACGUAUUAUUUGCGCUUCUUUAGCAUAUCCUAUUUAGAGUAGGAUGAGAAUUCCAUUUAUUUAAUAGAUGUAGUUAAGUGAUCAGUUAAAGGCUUAGCAUUAAAUUCACAACUGUGGAUGAGGGAUAAAAGAAUAAAAAAAAGCAUUCUUCCUACCAUUGAUAGUUUAUAAGUUUAUGAGGGCAGGAUUACUGCAUUUUAAGAUAUGAGACUUGGCUUGAAUUUACAAGUUACAAGGCCUCUCUGAGUCAGAGUCCUCAUUUUUAACCUGAUAAAGAGCAAAAUCAACUGAGUAAAGAUUCAAAUGGUUUUAUGCAGCAAUUCAUGAACAGGGCACAUCCAAUCUAGCAGACAGAAAGGAGCGCUGAGAACUGUACAAGAUGAGAGAUGGUCCUGGACCAAAGUAAGCAGGAUCAAGGACAUUAUACUGGACACUUGCUGACUGGUGAAAACAGGAUGGCUCUCCUUAUGUGGAGGAAAGGGAAGUCUUGGAGCUGGGUCAUGUAACUCACGCUCACGCUUCGCUGAUUUGUUGACCUACACCUUCCCAGGAGAGCUCAACAUAGAAACUCAGUUACACGUUGGUACGCUGAUAUAGGGCUUCACAUGAGUGACAUAGUGUCUAGCCUACGGUGGUUACUUUACCAAAAAUAUGCAUAACUACAUCGGCCCAUAUCACUGAAUUAGUUAUGAUUCUCAAGGAUUAAUGACCAAACCAGAGUUUAUUUUUCUUAAUCAUAGGAAGCCUGUUUGUUUUACUGUUCCUUCAGUGGUCCAGGAUUCAUUCGAAGCUCUGGGUCCUCCGUGAUUUGAUGUGUGUUUCCAUCAUAGUUCCUUCAGACCAGCAGACUUAUUAUAUUUCAUUGUCAAAUCUGGGACUCGAACCAGCCCCUGGUCCAAUCACGGGAGAGGGGAAUUACUAUGGUGGAACUAGACCAAUCAUGACUCAUUCUGUGAGGCUAAAGUAGAUGCUGGCCUUCCCCAAAUUCAAGGUAUAAGUACCCACUAACUGAACAAAAUCAGAGUUUUAUUAACAAGGAAGAAGCCAGGAUAACAGACCAUGUCAGCCACAGUCAUAAAAUUGUAUAAGUGCCAUCUAAUCUAAUCAGCUAAUAUGAAAUUAUUUUCCUAACUCUAAAAUGUAAUGGAAGUAGUGUAACUGUUAUUAUUAUUGACAAUGAUGAUGUUAUUAUUAUUAGCACUUAACAUGAUAAUAUGCUCUCUCAACUAAAAUUAUAUACUCACUAGUCCAAAUCCUUCCUCAUAUCUUCUCCUGGUCUUUAUUUCUCUCUCUGUCAUUUUUAGCAUCUCCAAUGUAGUUCUGAACCCAAUUCUGAUGUAUGUAUAUUAUGUGUGUUGGGGUGGGGGGAGGUCUCAUAAAAAUAAGCAAUUCUGGAUAUCCUACAAUUCAAUUCAAUUUUGAUACUAUUUACCCAAAGAUAGCAUCGUAUUUGACAGAGUAAGCGUUCCGUCCUACAAGACAGCCCCCAUCCUACACAACUUCCAGCACAAAUCCCCAGCUCAGCUUGUCAUCUGUGUUUCUGACAAACCAGUAAGUUGUAGAUUGAAAGUCCCCAUACUCCCCUUUUGGGUUCAUUUAAUUUCUCAGAAGCUCUCCAAAUCCCAUCCUGUUAGGAUUUUACAGAGGCAUGAUUAUCAAGACACAAUUGAUUAAAUCAUUGGCCAUUGAAGACUGAGCCAACUUUCAGCUCUUCUUCCUUCCCAGGAGGUGGAACAAGGUGAGGGGUGGUGGUGAAACUGAAAGUUCCAAUUCUCUAAUCACCUGGCUUGUUCUCUUGGCAAC